rnacentral:rRNA from 1 species
UCAAGGAAAGUCAGUCGAUUUACAGUUAUACAACCUACUACAACACCUCUCCCGGUGGCUCUCCCCCAAACGUAACGGUUUCAGCUUCCACCGGUAACGGAACUGGACGGACCUGGAGAACUGGAAAUUGUUGCGAGUUUGUCCUUUGUGUACAACCUCCUCCUCUGGUGUUCGAUUAACAUUCGUAGUUGAUAAACAAUCGAUAGUUAGAACAGGAAACUCGUAUAUAUGAAAUAAAGAAUUUGGUAAUACGUACUCGAAAAAUCCUACUAAACCUACUCACCUAGUCUCCUGCUGUACUCGUCCAUAAAGGUAAACUAGUAUGGGUUUUACUAUUACAUAUGUGAUUGAAUUCUACUACCGAGAAGAUGAGACGAUUGUAUUGUACGUACACGAACACACCUCACGGAGGUUUUAAUUAUCGAGUUCAGAGAGUUGUGCGCCUACCUACUACAACACCUCUCCCGGUAGCUCUCCCCCAAACGUAACGGUUUCAACUUCCACCGGUAGCGGAACUGGACGGAUCUGGAGGACUGGAAAGUGUUGUGAGUUUGUCCUUUGUGUACAACCUCCUCCUCUGGUGUUCGAUUAACUACUAAACCUACUCACCUAGUUUCCUGCUGUACUCGUCCUGGUAUCGCCUGGUAACGUUACGCCGUUUAGUUUAAAGUUAUGAGUUGUGUGAAGAUACACCUAAUCUUCUGGUGUCCACCUCACACGAACCUGCCGUCGAACCGGCGGUCGACGUACGGGAAGAUCCGCCGGUCCGUCUCUAAGAAACGGAGCCGUUGGCGGAACCGGAUCUCGGUACGGUCCAGCAGCAGCGGCUCCUACCUGCGGUCGUUACUGUAGCUAGAGACACUAUGGCUGCUUCAACCAACACCCCGCCCUGGUACCGCCCCACCGUACUCCGGUACCACCCCUCUCCUGUACCCGUGCUCCGACACCUAUAGCUCGAGGAAGAAAAUGUUGCUUCCCGUACUGCCUACCGUGGUCGCCUUUCCACUCGCGGCCACCUCUAUUCGCUCUUUUCCUCAUCGCGCUCCGCCAUCCGUCGGAACUUCUCCUACUCACCCCGGCGACGACCCCCUACCAGGAUCCCUAAAAACUUAGUUGCUCUCGUCACAGCCGGGUCCGAUAGAUCUUACUAACGUACAUAAUUACUUCAUCAGGUGCAAUCCACCUAACCGAGUUUUACCUCUUCGUACUAACAUAAUUCGUAAAUUCGAGAUUCGUUAAAUCUUACAGUUACAGAACCCCGAGGGAACGUUAUAAAGUCUCUUGAUAUAAAAAAGUCUGUAAAAUAUAACGGAGUGCUACAAAC